rnacentral:rRNA from 3 species
GCUGACGAGUGGCGGACGGGUGAGUAAUGUCUGGGAAACUGCCUGAUGGAGGGGGAUAACUACUGGAAACGGUGGCUAAUACCGCAUAACGUCGCAAGACCAAAGAGGGGGACCUUCGGGCCUCUUGCCAUCAGAUGUGCCCAGAUGGGAUUAGCUAGUUGGUGAGGUAACGGCUCACCAAGGCGACGAUCCCUAGCUGGUCUGAGAGGAUGACCAGCCACACUGGAACUGAGACACGGUCCAGACUCCUACGGGAGGCAGCAGUGGGGAAUAUUGCACAAUGGGCGCAAGCCUGAUGCAGCCAUGCCGCGUGUAUGAAGAAGGCCUUCGGGUUGUAAAGUACUUUCAGCGGGGAGGAAGGUGUUGUGGUUAAUAACCGCAGCAAUUGACGUUACCCGCAGAAGAAGCACCGGCUAACUCCGUGCCAGCAGCCGCGGUAAUACGGAGGGUGCAAGCGUUAAUCGGAAUUACUGGGCGUAAAGCGCACGCAGGCGGUCUGUCAAGUCGGAUGUGAAAUCCCCGGGCUCAACCUGGGAACUGCAUUCGAAACUGGCAGGCUUGAGUCUUGUAGAGGGGGGUAGAAUUCCAGGUGUAGCGGUGAAAUGCGUAGAGAUCUGGAGGAAUACCGGUGGCGAAGGCGGCCCCCUGGACAAAGACUGACGCUCAGGUGCGAAAGCGUGGGGAGCAAACAGGAUUAGAUACCCUGGUAGUCCACGCCGUAAACGAUGUCUACUUGGAGGUUGUGCCCUUGAGGCGUGGCUUCCGGAGCUAACGCGUUAAGUAGACCGCCUGGGGAGUACGGCCGCAAGGUUAAAACUCAAAUGAAUUGACGGGGGCCCGCACAAGCGGUGGAGCAUGUGGUUUAAUUCGAUGCAACGCGAAGAACCUUACCUGGUCUUGACAUCCACAGAACUUUCCAGAGAUGGAUUGGUGCCUUCGGGAACUGUGAGACAGGUGCUGCAUGGCUGUCGUCAGCUCGUGUUGUGAAAUGUUGGGUUAAGUCCCGCAACGAGCGCAACCCUUAUCCUUUGUUGCCAGCGGUCCGGCCGGGAACUCAAAGGAGACUGCCAGUGAUAAACUGGAGGAAGGUGGGGAUGACGUCAAGUCAUCAUGGCCCUUACGACCAGGGCUACACACGUGCUACAAUGGCGCAUACAAAGAGAAGCGACCUCGCGAGAGCAAGCGGACCUCAUAAAGUGCGUCGUAGUCCGGAUUGGAGUCUGCAACUCGACUCCAUGAAGUCGGAAUCGCUAGUAAUCGUGGAUCAGAAUGCCACGGUGAAUACGUUCCCGGGCCUUGUACACACCGCCCGUCACACCAUGGGAGUGGGUUGCAAAAGAAGUAGGUAGCUUAACCUUCGGGAGGGCGCUUACCACUUUGUGAUUCAUGACUGGGGUGAAGUCGUAACAAGGUAACCGUAGGGGAACCUGCGGUUGGAUCACCUCCUUA